GUGUGCUUUGGUAACCCAUGUACAACAACUGGAACAAUAUAGAGAAGAUGAGCAUGGCCCUUGUACAAGGAAGACCCAUGAAUUAAAAAAACAAAAACAGAAAUA
rfam:Otolemur garnettii contig014826, whole genome shotgun sequence.